rnacentral:ncRNA from 1 species
GGUCAUGAGUGCCAGCGCCAAGCCCCGGCUCGCUGGUCGGCAACCCUCCUCCGCGGUGGGGUGCUCCGGGUGACGACCUGGCCACGCACCGAGCAGCGGUGCGGCAAGUGCGGAUU